UGUCUAAGUAUAAAUGCUUCUAUACUGUGAAACUGCGAAUGGCUCAUUAAAUCAGUUAUAGUUUAUUUGAUGGUUCCUUACUACUUGGAUAACCGUAGUAAUUCUAGAGCUAAUACAUGCAGAAAGUCCCGACUUCUUGGAAGGGAUGUAUUUAUUAGAUCCAAAACCAGCGCGAGUUUCCUUCGGGGGCUCGGUUGCAUGGUGAUUCAUGAUAACUGCUCGAAUCGCAUGGCCUCGCGCCGGCGAUGAUCCAUUCAAAUUUCUGCCCUAUCAACUUUCGAUGGCAAGGUAGUGGCUUGCCAUGGUGACAACGGGUGACGGAGAAUUAGGGUUCGAUUCCGGAGAGGGAGCCUGAGAAACGGCUACCACAUCCAAGGAAGGCAGCAGGCGCGCAAAUUACCCAAUCCCGACUCGGGGAGGUAGUGACAAUAAAUAACAAUGCUGGGCUAUCGUAGUCUGGCAAUUGGAAUGAGUACAAUCUAAACCCCUUAACGAGGAACAAUUGGAGGGCAAGUCUGGUGCCAGCAGCCGCGGUAAUUCCAGCUCCAAUAGCGUAUAUUAAAGUUGUUGCAGUUAAAAAGCUCGUAGUUGGAUUUCGGGGCAGCCCGGCUGGUCCGUCGCAAGGCGAGUACUGGUCGGCCGCCCUUCCUCUCGAAAGCCCCGACUGCUCUUCACUGUAGUGGUCGGGGAGUUCGGGACGUUUACUUUGAAAAAAUUAGAGUGUUCAAGGCAGGCCAUCGCCUGAAUACAUUAGCAUGGAAUAAUGGAA
rnacentral:rRNA from 1 species